UGCUCUUCUUCUGUGUUGAGGUUUGUCGCUUCCUUCUCCUUACUAGGAAUACAUCUUCCAUUCAGUGCCUGUUUUCUCUAUGGUGAUUGAAUGAUUGUUCUUGCUUUGUAUCUGAUACAUUCCACUGCUAUAUUUUUUUAAAUAUGUUAUAUCCAUUCCACCACAAUGCCUCUAACUCAGAUUUAUUGUCUCAAAGAUGAUAAGAGAGAUGCGGUGUGAGCAGUAUUGUUUUGCUUUAAGAAAACUUUUAUAUAUUUGUGUAUAUGCAGUUAACCCAUAUGAGUAUGUGAUCUGCUAAAUAACACCGAGACAGUCCUAGGCAUGAGUGAAAUCAAGGACUUGUUUGAGGAUAUACCAGUGGCUGUAAGCUAAUGCGUUCUUGUGCCUAUUUUGGAUUUGUUUGGCCGUUUUCAGUUGUAAUCUCGAUGUGUUCCUUGAGCACUGCAAAUGAGUUAAUUCUAAAGUAAAGUUUGCAGGUACAUUGAUUCACCCUGUUGCUACCUUCAUUGGUGGAGUGACCAUCUAGGAAGUAAUCAAGGUCUUCAUUGUGUUCCAGAAAGAAAGAUGAGGCUGCCUUUUACUUAUUGUGUCGGAAGGAUGCAGCGCUACUGAAGGCACUACUUCAUUCUAUUACGAUUGGUAAGAUGAUUGUCAUUGACUUUUUUCUGAUGUCAAACCGAUACAACAAAUGUCCUCUCAAUUCUAUAUGGAAUAUUGGAAUAUAUGGAGUUCUAGAUUCAAUUUCAUCCGGCCCUACUGAUGCAUGUGCAAGACUUUUCUCUUUUUACCAGCGGCCAGUGAGAGCAUCAAGAGGAGCAUCGCCGACGGCCAGCACCAAUCGAAGCCCCACGGAGAGAGGUGACAUGGGACCUCCUUCCUCGAUCUGCUUCGGCU